rnacentral:rRNA from 1 species
AGUCACUGACAUUAGAUACCCGCGUAGUCCAGGGUGUAAACGCUGCAGACUUGGUGUUGGAGGCCCUUUGGGGGCAUUCAGUGCCGGAGAGAAGUUGUUAAGUCUGCUACGUUGGGAGUACGUCCGCAAGGAUGAAACUUAAAGGAAUUGGCGGGGGAGCACCGCAACGGGAGGAGCGUGCGGUUUAAUUGGAUUCAACACCGUAAACUCACCAGGGAAGACUGUUACAUGAAGGCCGAGAUGAAGACUCUGCUAGAUUUUCAG